GGGCCCGCACAAGCGGUGGAGCAUGUGGUUUAAUUCGAUGAUACGCGAGGAACCUUACCAGGGCUUAAAUGUAGUAUGACCGGCUUGGAAACAGGCCUUCUCUUCGGAGCAGAUUACAAGGUGCUGCAUGGUUGUCGUCAGCUCGUGCCGUGAGGUGUUAGGUUAAGUCCUGCAACGAGCGCAACCCCUAUUCUUAGUUGCCAGCGGUUCGGCCGGGGACUCUAAGAAGACUGCCAGCGCAAGCUGAGAGGAAGGUGGGGAUGACGUCAAAUCAUCACGGCCCUUACGUCCUGGGCUACACACGUGCUACAAUGGUAGAGACAGAGGGCAGCCACCUGGUGACAGGGAGCGAAUCCUUAAAGCUUGUCUCAGUUCGGAUAGGAGUCUGCAACUCGACUCCUUGAAGUUGGAGUCGCUAGUAAUCG
rnacentral:rRNA from 1 species